ensembl:lincRNA 4930528G23Rik uncharacterized LOC110295845
UUCUCCCAGAGGGGAUGGAGGAGGCCUUGCUGUGCAGCAGGGUUAGGACAUUAGGCUUCACCUCUGCUUCUUGACAGCAGAAGCAACAUGGCUGACUGUCUCAUGCUCCUGCUGCCAAGAUGGAUUGUAUCUUCUCAGAAUGUAAGUCAACCUUCCUUAAACUGCUUUCUGUCAGUAUUUUGUCGCAGCAGUAAGAAAGAUGAACAAUAUGCUUUUAAAGACUAGAGCUUAGGUGGAGUUCUGAUUGUGUAGUCAAUGAGGCUGCAUUCCCUCGUCUGGGACUAAAUAGGAUAUACUAAGAUAUACCUACUCCCAGUCUGUCACUAAAGACCUAUACGAUUCGUAACCUGAGAAACACCUUUUUACUCAAAUUAAGAUGAGCAUGGCUCCUGUGAAAACAAGAGUAGGCCUACUGUCUAACACCAGAUGCACUGGCAGCUCAGGUGUCAUGGAGGUGUUUUCUCUUAGACUGAGCAAUUUUCUGUAGCGUCAGGUGUACUGUUAAAUAUAGAUCAGCUUUCUUGAGUUAAAAAGAGAAAUGGAGGGGAAAAAAAAAGUACAGCUUGGACAUGUACCUGUAAUUAUGAAGUCAUCCUGGUUGCCCCUUUUCUUUCUCUCACGUCAACUUUCUCUCAGUUCAUAAACAUGAGCAACAGGUAAAAACAACCAGGGAUACAAGAAUCAGUGCCUCAUACCCACUUCCUGCAAAAAAAACCUCUCAAAUGUACAGAACAGCCUGCUAUGGUCUGAAUGUUGACUUUCAAGAAAUGAGUGCAUCAAAACUGAACUUCUCUAGUUUACUUGGAGAUUACAUUUCUGCCAGCCUGUGCCCUGCUCAGUCCAGUAAAAUGCAGUGGAGGUAAAGAUGGGGCUGGAGGUGUCGCUCAAUGGUAGAGUCCUCACGACUCACCUGCAAGGCCCUGAGUUCACUUCUCAGCACCAUGAGGGGAAAAGAAAAGGAAGAAUGGGGAAGCCUAGGCUGUAAGUACCUCUUCUUCCCUUUGAUCCCUGACACUUCCACAUGAAUAAGCCCAGCUCUCCUGCUAGAGGGUGAGAAGAUAAGAGGCCAUGUGGAGCAAGUCUAGAUGACCCUCUUUGAGGACUCAAACUCGUUAGAGAGGUUGCCUGAAGUCAGCAGUGGUGAUCUUCCAAAGAUGCACAAGUGAGCCAGGAUGAGACAGAGGAGCUGCCCAGCAGAACUCUGCCCCAGUGGCUGACCCAUGCAGUGCUGUACUAGGAAUAUCUAUCUUUUUUUUUUUUUUUAAUCUUUAGAGCCAUCAAGCAUCGAGGUGGCUCAUUAUCUAGGAAAAGCUCACAGGUCUGUGAAGUUCAGGAUAAAACCUUAUUCAGCGGCACACAGCUAACUAGCACUCUGAAACAUUAUGAAGAUACACUCGGCAGGGUAAGACAUCCCUCAACUUUACUCAUACUCACCGAGCUGCUCAGUUUUAGAGGAGCUAAUAAGGGAAAGCUAGAAUUGUUAAAAAUACUUAGGUAAUGUUGGGAGAAGGGGCCCAGGAAAGAACAGCCUGCUCCUGAGCUCUUGAGACUUGGAAAUCCCCACCCCCAUGACUAAGUGUUAAAGGUCAAACAAUACUUCUGGAUGCUUCAUACUUUUCCACUACCUCAUUGAAUGUGUUAAAACAACCCUAUAAAACCUUCCUCUUCUCCCAACCCUUUGCUGUCUCUCUUCCCAUUGAAAAGCAGCAGCCAUCCGGUUUCUUCUCAACAAAUAAAUCUCUUGUG